CAGUCGCCACGGUAAUACGUAGGUGGCAAGCGUUGUCCGGAAUUAUUGGGCGUAAAGGGCUCGCAGGCGGUUUCUUAAGUCUGGUGUGAAAGCCCCCGGCUCAACCGGGGAGGGUCAUUGGAAACUGGGAAACUUGAGUGCAGAAGAGGAGAGUGGAAUUCCACGUGUAGCGGUGAAAUGCGUAGAGAUGUGGAGGAACACCAGUGGCGAAGGCGGCUCUCUGGUCUGUAACUGACGCUGAGGAGCGAAAGCGUGGGGAGCGAACAGGAUUAGAUACCCGCGUAGUCCCUGUCUCUUAUAC
rnacentral:rRNA from 1 species